ACGGCCCAAGUUUGCUCAGCCCUACCCCUAGAAGUUGCUUGGGGCAGAGCCCAAGGCUUGUGAACCUUGAAUUGCCCAGCUUGAGAAAAGGCUAAACUUGAGAUCCAACCCUCGGGGGAAAUUGCCAUCAAAGGGAAGCAAAUCAGAAAGUGAGCAAUAAGGGAAAAUAGAGGGAAAAAAAGACUGAAAUGACCAAAUAUCUCAGGAGGAAGAAAAGGGAAUUGAACAUAAACAAUUAAACCAACAGAGAGGAUAUUAAUACCAGAAGAGAAAAUGACCUCCAGAUCAGGAGUAAUGAAAAGCCAUUGAAGCUUCUUAAGGAGGGGAGUAAGGUGGUCAGACCUGAAAUUUAGGAAUAUCACUUUGGCAGCUACAUGGAGAAUGGGUUGGAGAGAAACGAGACUUGAGUGUGAGGGCAAUGAUAGCUACUCAUAAAAGCAAAAGUAAGGACCAAGCAUGCCCCAACUAUUCCACACAAAGUCCAAAGUCAGGAAAUGUGACUGGAAGAACAAGCAAAUGAAAAAAGAAUCCCACCAUAAGGAACUAAUAUGCAGGGAUGCUCAAAACACAAA